rnacentral:rRNA from 1 species
UACGUAGGGUCCAAGCGUUAAUCGGAAUUACUGGGCGUAAAGCGUGCGCAGGCGGUUGUGUAAGUCAGAUGUGAAAUCCCCGGGCUCAACCUGGGAAUUGCAUUUGAGACUGCACGGCUAGAGUGUGUCAGAGGGGGGUAGAAUUCCACGUGUAGCAGUGAAAUGCGUAGAGAUGUGGAGGAACACCGAUGGCGAAGGCAGCCCCCUGGGCCGAUACUGACGCUCAGGCACGAAAGCGUGGGGAGCAAACAGG